rnacentral:misc_RNA from 1 species
GAUGAAGAACGUGGCGAAAUGCGAUACGUAAUGUGAAUUGCAGAAUUCAGUGAAUCAUCGAAUCUUUGAACGCAUAUUGCGCUCUCUGGUAUUCCGGAGAGCAUGCUUGUUUGAGUAUCAGUAAACACCUCAACUUCCAUAUCUUUUUUGAAAUGGGAGUUGGACUUGAGUGAUCCCAACGCUUUUCCUCACCGAAAAGUGGCGGGUUACUUGAAAUGCAGGUGCAGCUGGACUUUUCUCUGAGCUAUAAGCAUAUCUAUUUAGUCUGCCUAAAAAACAGAUUAUUACCUUUGCUGCAGCUAACAUAAAGGAGAUUAGUUCUUGUGCUGACUGAUGCAGGAUUCACAAAGACAGGCUUCGGCCGACUUUGUAAACUCGAUCUCAAAUCAAGUAAGACUACCCGCUGAACUUAAGCAUAUCAAUAAGCGGAGGA